CUUUGUCCAGGGUCAGGAGAGAUGGGCUCUUUCUAAUAGGGCUAUAACUACUCAGCCAGCUGCCCAGAGGGGAUUUGGGCAAGGCAUUCUCGGAGCAACUAGUUUGCAACUAACUAGUUUAUUCUAGAGUGAAGAGGAGUGGUAGGUCACUUGGUCCUUUGGUGCUUUGAGAGUAAUCUGAGGAGUUCUCAUGCAGAACAAGCCUUCAAGCCUCAACUUAAUUGAUUUUGACUUUAUUGAUUUUACAAAACUUCCGGAACAGUGAAUGGAACAUGUGCCUCUGGAGCCCUGUGCUAUCAUGUAGGAAUUCCAAUUACCCUGAAGCUGCCUGCUAGAGAGAUUACACAGACCUUGCAGAGCUUGAAAGAGAUGUCAGAGGAGCCCUGGUUGAUCCAGCCCCCGGUUGUUCAAGAUUCCCAGCCUAGGCAAGGAGCAGCUUUCAAAUGACUCCCCUCUCCAAUGGCCAAGCUGCCCCAGCCCACACCAAGGAGAGCAGAAAUGCGCUUCCUCCACUGAGCGUUAUUCAAAAUGCAGUUGUGUGAGCAAAAGAAAUGUUACUGAGAGAGCAAAAGCUGAGACUCAGAGGGAUUAAAGCAUUUGCCCAAGAUCGAAGAUCAAGAAGAGGGUUGCUUUGGAAUUUGAAUCCAGGACCAUCUAACUCUGAAGUUCACAUUCUCCUUGCUGUAGACUGUAUCCUACAGUCUCUCUCUGUGGCUCUGGACCUUUCUUAUGAGUCUCAGGGCAAAUGGCUCUUUUUCUCUCAGCUUGAAACUCCUAAGGAACAAACCUCUGUUCCCCAUCAAAGCCCAUAUGUCCUCUCUCUGAUUUCCUCAAAUGUCUAUCAGUUUUGCACACAUUUUCUUUAUAACUGAGAGGGGAUAACCUAUUCUAAUUACCUAUUCCAACCCACUUAUAAAAAAAAGAGGAAGAGGGAUGCCUGGGCAGCUCAGUCCAUAAAGUAUCCAACUCUCG